ACAACAUUGAAUCACAACACUGAAUCUUGAGCCAAUAUUUAUGUCAAUGUUGGACUUUUGUUUCCCAAACCUGUUGUCCUUGUUUAAAGCCAAAAAGGGUGCUGCAGAGCAACAACAGGCAGAGAUAAAUAUUCUACUUCAAAAGGGAAUUGCCAUUGAGAAGACAACAAUAUUUAUCAUCCAAUGUCUCACUGACCAUCUAGGAGAAGAUGUGAUUGGCUUUAUCAAACACUUUAAGGAGAAUGCUUCUGAAGUCUGCGUUCAAAAGGUUCUGGCUGAGGAUUUGAUGAAGAUGUACCUGCUGCAGAACCAAGAUGAGUCAGUCCAACCUACUGAUGUAAGGAUCUUUCCUGAUGACUGUUCUCACUUUACUCUGGGAUCUCAGCAGAGUCUGUUGCUUUCCGUUGGGACUUGCCCAUGUUUUGGAUCUGAAAUAUCCCAAGAAUCUCAAAUUUAUUUUUGUGGUAUUUCAAAAACUGUCCCUGGAACUGGAUCUUGGAAACCUUUCAGUGAAGGUUCAGAGACUGAAACCCCACCUCUGUGCAUUGUAGCUGACAACGUUUCACCAAAUUGCAUCUGAAACAUAGAACCUCUUAAAUACAUGAGCAUAUUCAUAAAAAGGUUCAGUUAAUGCAUUACCUUAAAAAACAUAAAAAGAGUUUUUUUAUGAGGGUCAUCAGCCUGAACCAGGGUCUGACCUAGUUCUUGGGUCAUGACAGCUGUUGUGUUAUUUACUGGGGGACAGAAAGUAAAACAUGACCCCCUUUCAUUGUUUUGUUCACUUUGUGUUAUAAUAUGAGCCCUUGUUCGUGAUUGGCUCCCUGGGUUGGUACUUUUUCCUUCAAGUGGAAAAGGCUUUGAAGUAACAGGGAUAAUGCUUUUUUAGUUUUUGAACUUACCUACACAAGCAUUUCUUUCAAGACAGUUUUAUACUCAGUCUAAUUUAGGGUGUUUUGGUUUUUUCUCUCUCUUCUGUUUAUACGCUGUUAACACUAAAACAGGAUAUUUUUCAUUCUCAAAAGCUAAUUCAAAAUAUUGAGAAUCUGUUUUCAGUGUAUUUCCUUUUCAAAAAGAUACAGAAGCAACUUAGUUAUUAUUGUGAUCCUGUAAUUUUUGCAGUGUACAGGCUUUUUCACAACUGUUUUUUGUUAAAUUUAAUGAUAGGAAGUGUCAGUGUUCACUUCUGUCCAAUCUAAAGCUUUUUUUCAUCCUGAUAAUGUCAGGUGGCAGCAGCACUAAAAUACAA